rnacentral:rRNA from 1 species
UACGUAGGGUGCGAGCGUUGUCCGGAAUUAUUGGGCGUAAAGAGCUCGUAGGCGGUUUGUUGCGUCGGCCGUGAAAACCUGCAGCUUAACUGUGGGCCUGCGGCCGAUACGGGCAGACUUGAGUUCGGUAGGGGAGACUGGAAUUCCUGGUGUAGCGGUGAAAUGCGCAGAUAUCAGGAGGAACACCGGUGGCGAAGGCGGGUCUCUGGGCAGUAACUGACGCUGAGGAGCGAAAGCGUGGGGAGCGAACAGG